UGACCGCUGGCGGCGUGCCUCAUACAUGCAAGUCGAGCGAACGGACGAGAAGCUUGCUUCUCUGAUGUUAGCGGCGGACGGGUGAGUAACACGUGGAUAACCUACCUAUAAGACUGGGAUAACUUCGGGAAACCGGAGCUAAUACCGGAUAAUAUUUUGAACCGCAUGGUUCAAAAGUGAAAGACGGUCUUGCUGUCACUUAUAGAUGGAUCCGCGCUGCAUUAGCUAGUUGGUAAGGUAACGGCUUACCAAGGCAACGAUGCAUAGCCGACCUGAGAGGGUGAUCGGCCACACUGGAACUGAGACACGGUCCAGACUCCUACGGGAGGCAGCAGUAGGGAAUCUUCCGCAAUGGGCGAAAGCCUGACGGAGCAACGCCGCGUGAGUGAUGAAGGUCUUCGGAUCGUAAAACUCUGUUAUUAGGGAAGAACAUAUGUGUAAGUAACUGUGCACAUCUUGACGGUACCUAAUCAGAAAGCCACGGCUAACUACGUG
rnacentral:rRNA from 1 species